rnacentral:tRNA from 1 species
GGAGGAGUGGCCCAAUGGCACGGCAGGAGAUUGCUAAUCUCCGAGGGUGUAAAAAGCCCUCUGUGGGUUCGAGUCCCACCUCCUCCGCCA